UGCGUAGGUGGUGCGCUAAGUCAGGUGUGAAAUUUCGGAGCUUAACUCCGAAACUGCAUUUGAUACUGGCGUGCUUGGGGACUGGAGAGGAGACUGGAAUUCACGGUGUAGCAGUGAAAUGCGUAGAGAUCGUGAGGAAGACCAGUGGCGAAGGCGGCAUCCUGGACCGGUAUUGACGCUGAGGCGCGAAAGCCAGGGGAGCAAACG
rnacentral:rRNA from 1 species